GACGAACGCUGGCGGCGUGCCUAAUACAUGCAAGUUGAGCGAUGAAGCUUGGUGCUUGCACCAAUUUGAAGAGCAGCGAACGGGUGAGUAACGCGUGGGGAAUCUGCCUUUGAGCGGGGGACAACAUUUGGAAACGAAUGCUAAUACCGCAUAACAACUUUAAACAUAAGUUUUAAGUUUGAAAGAUGCAAUUGCAUCACUCAAAGAUGAUCCCGCGUUGUAUUAGCUAGUUGGUGAGGUAAAGGCUCACCAAGGCGAUGAUACAUAGCCGACCUGAGAGGGUGAGCGGCCACAUUGGGACUGAGACACGGCCCAAACGCCUACGGGAGGCAGCAGUAGGGAAUCGUCGGCAAUGGACGAAAGUCUGACCGAGCAACGCCGCGUGAGUGAAGAAGGGUGUCGGAUCGGAAAACUCGGUUGGUAGAGAAGAACGUUGGUGAGAGUGGAAAGCUCAUCAAGUGACGGUAACUACCCAGAAAGGGACGGCUAACUACGUG
rnacentral:rRNA from 1 species